rnacentral:miRNA from 1 species
AGUUGGCAUAGAGUAGUACUAUG